ACUACUUCCAUUAUAAUACAGUUAAACAGUUAAACAGUCGGAUUAUAUCUCGCUAGAGUUGAAAAGAAAAACAGAGCACUUUGUUCACUGUCUCCAACCUCUCUGUCUACGCACAGCCGUGUUUCAAUGUAGGCCAGCAAAAAUCCGUACAUCAGUGGGAGUAAAACGAUGCCUCACCGCUGGGAGACAAGGCUUUUUCUCUGCUUUGUGUGACGAUGCUGUGUUAAGUGCAAGAGCCUGAGGAAAGAUGGAGCACAGCGCCUUAAGUAGCUCUCUGGGGAUGCUGGAGAUUUCCGGGAUGAGGAGUCUGCAGGUGCAGUGGUCUGAGAAGAAAAGGAGAGAGCGGUGGAUGAGGGACGGGGUGGGGGUGGGGUGGGAGAAGUCUAACAAGACUCGCUGCCUUGAGCCACCAUCUCUGACUGACACUCUCUUAAUUGACCUCACACGGGCCAGACAGAGAUGCCUAAAGGGCCGGAUGUGGCUCGCCAGCCGUAAAAUGCCCGAUGCUAUUGGUCAGUCCCCACGUGGGUCUGUUAUUUUUACAAGUUAUUAACCAAUCUAAAGUCUUGAAAAUAGCUUGAGCUCCAUUGGACACUUCAACUGUCCACCUCUUCCUCACUCCACGGGAGAGCUUCGCGGCAUAUUUCUCCUCAAGAAGAGUCGCAACGAAUGAGGUAAAUGUCUUCAAAACACUGGGCUCAAAGAAAAAAAAAUCUUGACCCCCGCUAGUUCUGGUGCUCCUCUGAGGACAGGAAUUUAGCGCAAGACAAUCCACUGCAACGCGGACUAAACCCUGUGCACUGCAGAUAAGGUAUGGCGUUUUUUUUUCAUUUCCUGAAAAAUAAUGGUAUUGGAGAUACGAGGAUUCCGCCCGACAGCGACGAUAUAUAAUAAUAACAACAUCAUACACACACACAUAUAUAUAUAUAUAUAUACACACACAUCAUGCCCUAUAUUUUUGUCCUAUGUACUGACAUGGUUUAUGGGACGAAGCUCACAUAGUGAAAUUCAAUCAUUUGGCCAGAAUCAUGGCGCGCGGAAUAGCCUAGAUCCACUCCUUACUUUACAAUCAUUAUGACACUGAGUGGAGAGAGAAACAGGAAAAAAAUAAAUAAAAAAAGGACUUUAAUGGACCACCCUCCUUAGAAGCAGCAGCAGCAGCCCCUUUCCCAAAGACUAACCCUCUGCAAUUAGUCUAAUUAAUGUGAAACAAUGGAGCGCAUGGCCACUUAUCAAAUUGAUUGUUCUCCCUAUAGAAGGGGGAGUGUGGCAGGCCUGGCCUUGUAAAGGGCGACUAAUUUCAGAAGAUGAUUGGAGUUGUCACGUUGCUGUGGGACAAUUACCUCCCGACUUCGGUCACGGGCGGCGGAAGAGAUAAUUAGCAUGCGUUUAAAAGGGCUGUAUUCUAAUUAGCUGCACUUUGUCAAAAUACGGUGGAGAGAGUUCAGAUGGUGGAGGAACUUUGGUUUGGCUGCAAAGAUCCAAACACACACCAUAAACCACACACCACACACACGUCACAUAAUAUCAUAACAUAAUGAGUGAGAUUUCUUUCUGUCUUUUUUUCCCCCUCACCCACAAAAAAAAAAAAAGACUCUUGUUAAGCCCCUUAAGCCCAUCUCCAGAAGCUUAACAGAGACACUUUAACAGAGUCCUAUAAACUGCCUCUCUCUCCUCUGUAGCUGCUGCAAAUCCAUCAUUAAUCCUUUCAAUUAAUUUAUUCUUGUGGGCUUCUCCUAAGGUUUAGCCUCUGUGAUUUAAUAUGGCAAUGUGUUGCCAUGCUGACACUGAAAUGAGAAACCUCUGAAGCAGGAGGUGAAGCGGUGUCCCAUCUCACCUCAUCCAAAAAGUGUUUUUUUUUUUUUUAUUGCCAGAAAGUGGAACAUGUAGUUCAGAUGGCAUGUGACGUGCAUAGUUCAGGCUCCUUGAACCCCAGAAAAGGAUUCUCUGGUGGUCUACAUUCAUAACAUUCCCUUAAUAACCGUUUUACAUUUUUAAUUAAUUCCAUUUGAGGCCAUUGAGAAUUUGUAAGCAUGGUAAUUGCAUGGAAAGAGCCCUUUGGGGUGGGGGAGGUGAGGGUUUAGGGGGUUCUGGGUACAAACAUAUUUCUAUUCUGUAAAAGAGUCCAAAACACUUGAAGAUCGUGCCAAAGCGUGAUGCCAAAGCGAUUCUAAUCAGAUGGCGAUUUUUGUUAGUGUUCCCUGUUUUUGUUGCUUUUUUAAUUGUCAACAAUAUCACUUGCAUUACUGAGAUGUGCCAUAUGCGUAAUCUAUUAAAGUAACAAAAGUCUUAACAUUUGCAGUUUAACAGAAAACUUUCAGCCUUCCGAACGACAUUAAUGGUGCUCCUUUCCUUACCUGUUAUUGAUCUGAAUUUGCCUAUUUUGCAGGAAGCACGUGCUAGGAGAUCAUCUUCAUCUUGCAGCUGAACUUGUUUCCAUCCUGCUGUAAAUUAAGUCAAUUAUUCUGUUAAGCUAAUUACUAUUCCAAUUAGCGCAGCUAUAACAGCUUUCUGACCUUAUUAUCAUAUCUUUAGCAAUGCACAUGGCAGAGUCAGAGAGCAGAGACAUGUGGGAUUGUGUCUGUUUUACAGUGUUUCACUUCACCCACACUAAUUAAACAUCAUCAUAGCACUUCAGUUAAAUCAACAACUAACACUUCACUUGAUUUCAAGCUACAUACGUGUUAAAUAAUAGUACGAAGCUAAUACUGCUAUUUUUUCCUAAGGUAAUGACUGUACGCUUUCUGGAUCUUUUGUUCUGCGACUUCAGGGGACAGAUUUGAAUUGGUUGUAGAGAAACAGAGGGAUGGAGAGAUGACAGACGAGAGAAAGCUUUCUGUUCUUUCAGGAGUUUUCAGUGUAACAAGGCAGUGAGUAUGGAAGCCCAAGGGAGCUUCUGCUCUACAGAUUAGACACCGACAUUCAACCACAGAUGCAAGGAGAAGGAGGUCCCCAAAAAACACGUCAGACAGCAUGUCAGUCCUCCUCGUGCUAUCUCUUUACCUUGGUCUCUCUCUCUCACAUCUAAACAUCUCUUUAUGUCAGAACAAAUUGGCUGGGUCUUAGAUCGCUGUCUGGCUGCUGAGAAAUGAAUUAAUUUGUUGGUAAGGAUUUAGACCACAAAAUAUGCCAAAAAAUGGUAAAGAGGAGGAAAUUUCUUGUUUGUAGACAACCGGUCAGACGUAACAUGAUAUAGGAAUGUAAAUAAAGUAAACGCUGUGUAAGAAACUCUGAACUUUUCUUUAUAAGAAAAAGUGUGACUUUUUUAUGGUGUGAAAAAAUUAGUCCUGGAGUGUAAACAACAUUGUCCAAGCAGACAAGCCACAGUGCUCAAACAGCAAUGUAACACAACUCCAGAUCGCUUUAAAACCAACAGAUAUUCCGAGGCUGAAAAAGAGUGAGAGUUGUUGUAACUCUGACCUUCUUUUCUUCUUCUCACACUUACUUUGAAAGCCAUUAAGGUCCGAUUUCACUCACCUUCCAUGGGAAGACACUGCCCUUGAAAAAAAAUACAUGUUCUUAAAUAGGUGUUGCUUUGCCAGUCAAGGGGUUUUAAAAAUGAUCUAAAUCAGUCUUCGGUCUUCAGACACACUCUGGAAUAGUCAUCCGAUUUCAUUCCAUUUAUACACACUUUUUGUAGACGACUGAAAUUUUUUUUUUAUGACUAAAGCUAGAAAAAGCAAUACAUCUAGUUAUAGUUGAGGUAAACUUCAGCAAUGACCAUUGCUUUGUCUAGUAAAGAUCGAUUUCAAAGCCAGUUUAAAAAUUGUUUCAACGUCCAGUUAAUAGUUGCUGAAAUCUCUUCAGGUAAAGUAGGUUGGACAGUCAAUGAGGAUUAUCCGUCAACACGUUUCACCUUCACAUUUCACUCAAGCUCAUGCCUGCUUUGGCAAAAUGCAAAGCUCGGGGUGUUUACAUAUACAAAUCGUGUAGUUGCACUGCUUUAAUCUUGUAGGCUUAUAUGGUCACUUUCAGUUGUUUAUCUAGGAUGGGUUUCUUCCAUUCCUCAUAAGUCCUUGUUGGUUAUAUAUGAGAUAACAAUGCACCACUUCAAGACAUCCAGAAGAAAAUUAGCACAAAAUAUUGCUCACAAAAAUAUUUACUUAGUAUUAGCCGAUUACUUUAAAGCCACUCAGUUGAAAUCUAUCGGUUCUAUGUGCUUACUCACCGUACAGAUGGGUGACCAAUAGAAGGAAAAGAAGUAAGAAUAAAAUAUCUUAGUAAGGUGUCGGGCCUCCACGAGACACCGGCUUCAGUAUUCAUUGGUACAGAUUCUUUGGAGAAAUGAUCACCAUUAAUUCAAGAUAAUCCUCAGAUCCUCCCAAAUCUCCAAUAGGUGUUCAACUGGAUCGAGAUCUGAAUUGGGACUGUGAAAAAGAAAGCAUAUGAUUUACAUAAUUUUCAUAAUUCAUUCAGUGAACACUUGUGCCCUGUGGAAGGGGGCGGGGCAAUCCUGGAAGAAACCACACCCAUCCAGAGAAAAAUGUUUUUAACAAUAGGAUCGAUGCAAUGCUACAGUAUAUUAGAAUAACUUUAGGAUUGACUCUUCUUUUUAUGUGGACAAGUAGACCUAACAAAAUGCCUCCCAGAAAAAAAACAACACCUUUUUUAUUAUUUUUUCCCUUUAAUUUGUCACCCGGCUAUAUACCCUGCAUACCCUGUCAGGGACUUAGGGAUUUUGUACUCCCAUAAGGAAAGAAGGUUUAAAAGACUUUUCUAAUCAGCUCUGAGAUUACAAAUGCAGACAAAAGGGUGAAGAGGAUCUCCUGGUUAUUUUUUUUCCCGAGCCACUGUGGAUUUAAGACACGGCCCAUACACGAGUGGCUAAUGCCACCCACAGCAUGACAAGCUCAUCAGCAUUCAUUACAUCAAAACAGAUGCAAGCAGGUGGAAAAAACAGGCUAAAAAUUGGCUGCAGGUUCUGAGGGAAUAGUUGUGGCGGGGCUGGUAAUCCACGGCUCAAGUGGCACGGCCGCACACCUUCCCCCUGCAACUCCAUCGGGCUCCGGAAACACCUCCCGCUCUCUGCCGCAUCAAUAUAUUUCAUCUGGAGCACUGAACAGCAAUGGAGAGAUCAGCGGAAUGGGCCGAAAUAAUAGAAUAUUCAUCCCUCUAAUCCAUAUUCAAUUCUUUUCGCCUCCUCCGAUCGCCUCCUUCUCCUCAGUGCAUGUAUAUGAGCUCAGGCUGUAUCUCUCAUUCAAAUGAGUUGUUCCUCCAUUCACUAUCUCCUUUCUCUAGCUCUCGCCCCCUCACCCCAUGUUAAAUACACAUGUUAGGUUUCUGCCCCGCUAACCAGCUUUUGACAGGCCCAGAGCUUUCAAUAAAAGAGUCGUCUGGCUACGACAGGAUGGAGAGAUGAAAUGUAGAAGCUAAGAAACGCUUGAUGGUUAAAGAAGCGCAAAAGGAUUUGCUAAAUACAAAAUAUAACACCCCCACAUCCCCCUUAAGGCAGGUUAAAUCCUAGACAUGGUUACAAUCAAGAAAUCUAGCCUCAGUUCUGAAAUAGAGAUAAAAUACUUCUUUGUAUUUGUGGACUUUCUCAAGACAGAACUCUUUCACAAAAGUCAUGCAUGUGUGUAAUUUUAUUUCCCUUAUUCCAUCAAUCCAAUGACAUCAUCUACUCUUAACCUGAGAAAGACUAUUUUUACUUCAGCUGCUUUCUUAUUUUCCCAAGGUAUCCAUCCCACUCUGACCAUCUCAAUCAUCUCUAUCUGACUAACUAUUCCUUCAUCACCCUCAGAUUACAGGAUAAAUGAACAAAGCUAUUACUGCUGUGUGCCGAAAGGGCCUGCUGACAAAUAUGGAUACAUUUCAGGAGCACCGAAGCCACCAAGGAACAAUUUUGCAGAUUUCAUCAAGAGUUCUAAUUAUGUUCCUGUCAAGUCCAGAAUGCUGCAAUCCAUAACUGGGGGAAGCACUCGGCGACGAGCUGUCGUGUGAGGGGCGUAAUUUAUGCCCUGGUGAAAGGGACCAGGGGGCGUGUUGAAGUGUUCCGGCAUGCACAGCGCCCCCUGACUAACAACCGGAUUUGGAGAAGACGAAACAUUGGCUUGACGAAAGUGAUGAGACAGAGAGGCUUUGGUGGAUAGACCUAGUGUUCAUGUGUAGAGACUGAAAAAUGUUUACUAAAGGCCAACUAUUAAAUCCACGACACAUGCAUUUGUUUAGCUGUGUACACAAGCUCCUUUGAACAGGCUCUAAAAUGAAGAAGCUAAAUACAAUCUGAUAA